CCAGGCGGAAGGGCAGUCUUUGGGGGAGGCUGUGACCAGGGCUGCGGCAGCACAACCCAAAUGAGGCGGUGAAUUUUCAGGUCGUUUUCUACGGAUCGGCUCUAGUCCGCCUUCCUGGCCCUUGUUUGGUGGGACCGAAUGGGACAGGGUCAUUUGGAGACCUCGACCUCGAGAGGAUAUUUUAUGAAACAAAACCUAAGAUUACUGUACACAUAUUGACACUAUUCUCAGAGUAAGUGUAGGCCUACCGAUGUCAGUUCCCAGCCAUAAUGCAUACCAGUAACCUUAGCUUCAAAACAAUCAUCAAAGUUCUUGACUUUACAGGCAACCCAGAUUGCAAUCUAAAGAGAUCAGGGCUGGGGGUGUGACUCCCAGAGACCUUGCCUCCCUAUCCCUAGUACUACAAAAGACAGACGGACACAGAGAGGGCAUGUACUCUCAAUGACAGUGGAUGACGCACCUCACUUUACAUCCACUCAUGUACUCAGCUCUGAUUACUGAGCAGCUACUUACUAUGUGCUUCAGGCAUGGGUUAGAGUUCAGGAAUACACGGACCUUCCUUUGAGACAGGGUUCCUGCUUUGGAUGUCACUAUCUGAGCAGAGAGAGGCACAGAGAGGCCAUCACAAUACAAGAUGAUGGGGAUACAGGGACAGAAGAAAGGUUGGAGCUGCCAGACUAAGGCCUUUCCAGCAAAAGUUAAAAGAGUUGGACUCAAACUGGCGAUCCUCCUGCCUCAGCCUCAAGAGUGCUGGGAUUACAGGCGCUAUCAUUCUUACAUAACACAUUGGUCAACUAAACCUAGCCUUGAUCCUUCUGGCCUUCACAGGGCACAGGAUUGGUCACCUCUGCCAACCUAUAUCUCUGGACAAUUAAGGGCAAUUUCUUUGGCCUGAAGGGCAGUUUCUUGCCAAUCAAUCACCAAAUACUGAGUGCCUAUGUCAGUAAUAGCAAACAUUUAUUCAGUAUCAUACUAAAGCACUAAUUUUUCUAAGAGCUCCUUGUCUUCAUUUACAAAUAAAGAGAAUGAGACAUCAGGGAGAUUUAUUCUGCCAGCUAAUAUUGGGUGUUUGUGUGUAUGUGUGUGCUGGAAUUUCAAAAAUUUUUCUGUUUUGGUAUCAGGAAUCGAACCCAGGGCCUCUUUCUUGCCG
rnacentral:lncRNA from 1 species